rnacentral:rRNA from 1 species
GAAGGUAAUGGAGUGACGUUAAUGCAUUGGAUCCCAUCGAAACUUCGUAGUUAAGUGCAUUUGGGAUAGAGUAGUACUGGAAUGGGUGACCUCCCGGGAAGUCCUAGUGUUUUACAUGCC